AGAGCUAUUAGAUUUUCCAGUCGUCCCUGACACUUGAGCAUUUCUCUCUUUUAUUCUCUUCGUUCCCUUCUGCUAGUGGUAUAUUGUCCAAAAUAGAAAUAAAUAAAUAAUAGGAAAAAAAUAAUUUUAAAAAAAAGCAGCAGCAGCGGCUGUAUCUGCACAUCUCGCGAUACUGCUGCCAUCUUCUCAUUCCCUUUGAGAUCGUCGCUCGACUGUUACACUGAAUCGCUUCCUUGUGAUUGUCUCUCUCUCUCUCUCUCUAUAUUCACUUAUCUAAUCUCGGUCAUUUUGUAUGUGUUCUUUCUUUCUUUUCAACUGCGACUGUUAAAUUUUUGGUACAUCUUGCUUGGAAAACGAAUCAGUGCCUUGCUCUUCGCGCCGUAUGUUAAAUCGAGGUAGAAUAAUUAGAUAAUUCUUUGCUUCUUGUGUUUGUAGGUUUUCGCGGAAGAAAGGUAUUAAGGGAAGAAUUUGGAUAUGUCCGCGCUCUUCAAUUUCCACUCUUUUCUUACGGUAGUGCUGCUGGGGAUUUGUACUUGCACUUAUGUAAAGAUGCAUUUUCCAGCUCUUCUUGAACAGAGGACUGGGAUGACAAGAUAUGAAAUUUCUGAUGCGUGAUGUAUGACGCGUGGACGAUGGAACUCAUAGAAUGGUUACACAAGGAGAUGUUUGAAAAGACUUUCGUUAAUAAGAAAUCAAUACUUGGUUUCGGGGCUUCUUUUGGAAGGCUGCCAGAAUAGGUGAGCGCUUGAGCCCUUGGGUAGCAGUUGGAUGCUUCAUGAUGGGAGUAUCAAUAAUAUUCUUCUGACACAGAAAUGAUUGCUGACUCCAAAGUGAUCGUAGAGCAGUCUCACCCUUCAGAAUUAGUAUUCUUAAAUGCUUUGUACUAUUGAAUUUUUGAGAAAUUCUGUAUUUCCUUUCGUACAGGUGUGAAGUCUUUGUUUCUCAAAUUUGUUUGUUAAUGUGAUAGGAGUUGAUUGUUUACUCGCUAUAUUCUGAGGCUAAAGAAAAUUUUAUAUUCCUUCUCAUGUUACCCAUAUUCUUGUAGUAAGUUAAUUUUCAUGUUUCCGACUCA